UUGAUCUAAAUUGAUGGACAUAGGGACGGCCAUACUGCGUCAGACCAAUGGUCCAUCUAGCCUACUAUCUUGUCUUCUGGCAGUGGUCAAUGUGAGGUGCUUCAGAGUGAGUGAACAAAACAGAUAAUCAUCAAGUGAUCCAUCCCGUCGCCCAUUCCCAGUUUCUGGUAAACAGAGGCUAAGAACACUUCAGAGCAUGGA